rnacentral:sRNA from 1 species
AGGUUCCUUUGCUUUUGUAGCAAUCAAGAUGUCUUUGGACUUUGACCAAGUCUGAAACUUUUUCAUAUUGUAUUUAUUUCAAAUAAUGAGAUGAUCAAAGGUGAUCUGUGAAAAACACAGGAUAGAAACUGCAGCACCCUAAUAGAACCCACAUCUGGGUUGUUGAUGAAAAGAGUCAAGCUCUGUAGAAUAUUUGAAGAGAUUUAUUCUGAGCCAAAUAUGAGUGACGGUGGCCUGUAACUCAGCCCUCAGGAGAUCCUGAGAACAUGUGCCCAAGGUGGUUGGGGUGCAGCUUAGAACAUUUUAGGGAGACAUUUACACAUUAGAGAGACAUGAGACUUCAAUCAAAUACAUUUAAGAAAUACAUUGGUUUGGUCCAGAAAGAUGUUUCACAAAGCACAAGAACGGGCUGAAGUUCCCCACCUCUCUGCACAGCCGGCAGUUGGUAUUUCCAAGAAAGGGGCUGGACGACUUCAGGAAGGGCUGCCCGCCUUGCACUGGUCUGGUGACUCAGGUCCCUGUGGAGAGCUUUCUGCCCCAGAUUUAUCACAGAGCUCCCCAACUGGCCCCAAAGAAGAGGCAGAUCAAGCUGCUCAAGGAAGCAGACCUGCUUUCCAAGCUCUCGCCAGCCCAGCAGGCUCGGAAGGCAUUCCUGGAGGACGUGGAG